UACGUAGGGCGCAAGCGUUGUCCGGAAUUAUUGGGCGUAAAGAGCUCGUAGGCGGUCUGUCGCGUCGGAUGUGAAAGCCCGGGGCUUAACCCGGGUCUGCAUUCGAUACGGGCAGACUAGAGUGUGGUAGGGAGGAUCGGAAUUCCUGGUGUAGCGGUGAAAUGCGCAGAUAUCAGGAGGAACACCGGUGGCGAAGGCAGCUCGCUGGGACGGUACUGACGCUGAGGCGCGAAAGCGUGGGGAGCAAACAGG
rnacentral:rRNA from 1 species